GACGAACGCUGGCGGCGUGCUUAACACAUGCAAGUCGAACGGAAAGGCCCUGCUUUUGUGGGGUGCUCGAGUGGCGAACGGGUGAGUAACACGUGAGUAACCUGCCCUUGACUUUGUGAUAACUUCAGGAAACUUGGGCUAAUACCGGAUAGGAGCUCCUGCUGCAUGGUUGGGGUUGGAAAGUUUCGGCGGUUGGGGAUGGACUCGCGGCUUAUCAGCUUGUUGGUGGGGUAGUGGCUUACCAAGGCUUUGACGGGUAGCCGGCCUGAGAGGGUGACCGGCCACAUUGGGACUGAGAUACGGCGCAGAAUCCUACGGGAGGCAGCAGUGGGGAAUAUUGCACAAUGGGAGGAAGCCUGAUGCAGCAACGCCGCGUGCGGGAUGACGGCCUUCGGGUUGUAAACCGAUUUCGCCUGUGACGAAGCGUGAGUGACGGUAAUGGGUAAAGAAGCACCGGCUAACUACGUG
rnacentral:rRNA from 1 species